CGGGUGGUAAUGCCGGAUGCUCCAGUUGAUCGCAUGGUCUUCUGGGAAAGCUUUCGCGGUAUGGGAUGGGGUCGCGUCCUAUCAGCUUGACGGCGGGGUAACGGCCCACCGUGGCUUCGACGGGUAGCCGGCCUGAGAGGGCGACCGGCCACAUUGGGACUGAGAUACGGCCCAGACUCCUACGGGAGGCAGCAGUGGGGAAUAUUGCACAAUGGGCGCAAGCCUGAUGCAGCGACGCCGCGUGAGGGAUGGAGGCCUUCGGGUUGUAAACCUCUUUUAUCGGGGAGCAAGCGAGAGUGAGUUUACCCGUUGAAUAAGCACCGGCUAACUACGUGCCAGCAGCCGCGGUAAUACGUAGGGUGCAAGCGUUAUCCGGAAUUAUUGGGCGUAAAGGGCUCGUAGGCGGUUCGUCGCGUCCGGUGUGAAAGUCCAUCGCUUAACGGUGGAUCCGCGCCGGGUACGGGCGGGCUUGAGUGCGGUAGGGGAGACUGGAAUUCCCGGUGUAACGGUGGAAUGUGUAGAUAUCGGGAAAGAAACACCA
rnacentral:rRNA from 1 species